rnacentral:lncRNA from 1 species
UGGUUUUGGGAUCUUUUCUUGGGUUGGUUGUAGCUCCCCCGACUCCUUUUCCUUCAUUUGGCCCACCUAGUUCUCCUCCAUCCCUUCUCCUCCUCUUCGGCCCACCAUUUCUCCUUUGGUCCUUGGAGUUAUGAUCUGCAGUGGGGUUGUUUGGGGCAAAGGCUUUAGAGUCUCGGAUCUAGAUGUCUGACUGGGGUUGGGGAUCUUUAUGUGUUAGGUUGGGUUUUGGUGGUGUUUCUUCAGAUUCCCUCUGAUCUCCGGCUAUCCUUGGCAGUCCAUCCUUUCAUCUUUUGACUUCACUUCUUUUAGCCGUCCAUACUCUCUGUCCUUCUACUCCCGAUCCGGCCCACCAACUCGUCAUGCUCCAUUUUCACCUUUCUCUGCUCUUUAUGGCUUUACCGGCAGCCAUUUGGAACAUUAUGAACAGCUUCUUUUCCAACCGAUCUUUUACCAAGUCCGAGGGUUUGAUGGUUGUGGUCGUCUACGAUCUGCCUAGUAGGGGGAGUUUUGGGUGUUUUGGCAUGUCGUUUUGAUCUUGCUUGGGAGUUCCUUUUGAAGGCUAGUUUCGGUUUGGUCGGUUUCGUAAAAGAGUCUGUCCCUUGAUGUUGGGUUUUCUGUCUUAUUUUGUCCGAUUAUAUUUUAUUGUCGGAAUCUGUGGUGGUGUUCUAAUCUAGGUUCAUGUGUUGUUUAUUGUUCAUCUUGUACAUAAUCAGAUUUGUGCUCCUUGGCUGGUUUUCAUGGCUGCUGCCGACGACAUCCUUGAGCUCCAACCGGUGGUUUCCUCGGGCCACGUGAUUCAAAUUUUGAAUGCUGAAUUUGCUUGUAUGGAUGGGACCCACAGUUAGUCACGUGGGUGCAUAUUCUGUCACGGAUCAUGUGGACUUGUGUUCUACUGCUGCCAGAUUUGUAUUUUGAAUUGUGUACUUAACAUGGGUUGAUGUUAUUUGGAAUUUGGGCGGUGAAAAAGUGGGCUUUGUUCCGCUUAGGGACCCUUUGAUUAUCCGGAUGACUUGGCCUUGUUUAGUCAUUUUCUGGCUAAUCUGGAUGGCAGGAUAUUAUAACUAACUAUCUCUUUUGAUAAUUAGGAUGUUUCUUUUACCUAGCCUCGGGUUGUGAGAAAUAUGUAAUUAGGUUAGGUAAUUUGGUUCCUAAACUUUUCUAGGUGUUUUAGCCCUCUCGGGAGAAAAGGACUAUGAUGCGAUCUUCAUUGUAAUAUCUUUUUUGCGAUUUAAUAUACAAACAAAUUUAGCAAAAAAAAAAGAAA